AUGGAUCAGGAGCUGAUCGAGCACCUUGAGGCCAAAGUGAGUGCUGACAGCGCGAGAUUUCAGUCUCUCAUCGAUUUGUUCAUACCAACCAUCGACAGCGAGCACAACAUAUGUUACACCCAACCUGAGAAACUUCCAGGUAUCACACUAAGUGGUCUAAGGAAGCAUUUCUUCCAGCGCAAUUCCAGGGCGUUCAAAAGGGGCGCGUGGACAUGUCGCAAGAUACAGUCGGAGUGCGGCAUGCACGCGAUGUGGCACAAGACCGGCAAUACCUUGCCGGUGAUGGUCAACGGCCGGCAGAGGGGCAGCAAAAAAGGUUCUGGUGCUGCACACCAACAAGAACUUCGACCAGCAGAGGACCAACUGGGUGAUGCACCAGUACCACCUCGGGGACCUGGAGCAAGAGAAGGAGCGGGAGCUGGUCCUCUACAAGAUUUUCUACCAGACGAACACUAG
rnacentral:rRNA from 1 species